rnacentral:lncRNA from 1 species
AGGGUUGGAAGGCAGGUUGUCAACAUCCCAUCUUUCAUGGUGAGGGUUGACUCCCAGAAGCACAUUGACUUCUCAAUCACUAGUCCCCUCGGAGGUGGGCGCCCCGGAAGAGUGAAGAGAAGGAACCAGAAGGCAGCUGCCAAGAAGGCUGCAGGUGGUGGUGAUGGAGACGAAGAAGAUGAAGAGUGAAGAGUGGAUGAGGCCUCAACUUAGAUCGUGCUUUUAUUUUAUGUGCUCCUUAUUUCAUCGUUAGUUUCUUUUACUGACUUCACAGUCUGUAUUGUAGUGGAUGGUGGUAAACGUUUCCUGUUCUUGUUUUAUUGCGCC